GGGGAAUAUUGGACAAUGGGCGCAAGCCUGAUCCAGCCAUGCCGCGUGAGUGAUGAAGGCCUUCGGGUUGUAAAGCUCUUUUAUCCGGGAAGAUAAUGACUGUACCGGAAGAAUAAGCCCCGGCAAACUUCGUGCCAGCAGCCGCGGUAAUACGAAGGGGGCUAGCGUUGUUCGGAUUUACUGGGCGUAAAGCGCACGUAGGCGGCUUGUUAAGUCAGAGGUGAAAGCCUGGAGCUCAACUCCAGAACUGCCUUUGAUACUGGCAUGCUCGAGUAUGGAAGAGGUUGGUGGAACUGCGAGUGUAGAGGUGAAAUUCGUAGAUAUUCGCAAGAACACCAGUGGCGAAGGCGGCCAACUGGUCCAUUACUGACGCUGAGGUGCGAAAGCGUGGGGAGCAAAC
rnacentral:rRNA from 1 species